rnacentral:rRNA from 1 species
GACAGAGGGUGCAAACGUUGUUCGGAAUUACUGGGCGUAAAGCGCAUGUAGGCGGCCAAGCAGGUCGGAUGUGAAAUCCCUGGGCUCAACCCAGGAACUGCGUCCAAGACUGGGAGGCUUGAAUCCGGGAGAGGGAUGCGGAAUUCCAGGUGUAGCGGUGAAAUGCGUAGAUAUCUGGAGGAACACCGGUGGCGAAGGCGGCAUCCUGGACCGGUAUUGACACUGAGGCGCGAAAGCCAGGGGAGCAAACGGG